UACGUAGGGACCAAGCGCUGUUCGGAUUUACUGGGCGUAAAGGGCGCGUAGGCGGCAAUUCAAGUCAUCUGUGAAAUCUCCGGGCUUAACCCGGAACGGUCAGAUGAUACUGCUUUGCUAGAGUGCGGAAGGGGCAAUCGGAAUUCUUGGUGUAGCGGUGAAAUGCGUAGAUAUCAAGAGGAACACCUGAGGUGAAGACGGGUUGCUGGGCCGACACUGACGCUGACAGCGCGAAAGCCAGGGGAGCAAACGGG
rnacentral:rRNA from 1 species